UACAGAGGGUGCGAGCGUUGUCCGGAAUCACUGGGCGUAAAGGGCGCGUAGGCGGGUUUCCAAGUCGGGGGUGAAAUUCCAGGGCUCAACCCUGGGACGGCCUUCGAUACUGGGAGCCUGGAGAUCGGGAGAGGUGAGUGGAAUUCCGAGUGUAGAGGUGAAAUUCGUAGAUAUUCGGGGGAACACCAGAAGCGAAGGCGGCUCACUGGCCCGAGACUGACGCUGAGGCGCAAAAGCGUGGGGAGCAAACAGG
rnacentral:rRNA from 1 species